rnacentral:rRNA from 1 species
CAAUAGCGUAUAUUUAAGUUGCUGCAGUUAAAAAGCUCGUAGUUGGAUUUCGGGUGGGAAUGGCCGGUCCGCCGUUUCGGUGUGCACUUGCUACGCCCACCUUGCUGCCGGGGACGUGCUCUUGAGUUCACGCUCGGGACACGGAGUCGGCGAGGUUACUUUGAGUAAAUUAGAGUGUUCAAAGCAGGCCUACGCUCUGAAUACAUUAGCAUGAAUAACACGAUAGGACUCUGGCCUAUCUUGUUGGUCUGUAGGACCGGAGUAAUGAUUAAGAGGGACAGUCGGGGGCAUUCGUAUUUCAUUGUCAGAGGUGAAAUUCUUGGAUUUAUGAAAGACGAACUACUGCGAAAGCAUUUGCCAAGGAUGUUUUCAUUAA